AGGUAAAUUUUGUUGCAGCUGUUGAUGUAUAUGAAGAUGGUGAAGCUGGCCUACUGUUAUGUUAUAACUAUGUUUGCCAAUACAGAAAGGUGUAUCCUUUUAAUGGAGGUUCUCCACUCGUCCAGUCAUCGGCUUACGACUUUCACUUUAGCUGGAAUCAAGUUCCUUAUGCUGUUGUCUGUGCUUUCCCUUCUAUCCUUGCCUUCACUACUGAUUCCAUUGAGAUCCGAUUAGUGGUGAGUGGAAACUUAGUCCACACAGCAGUUGUGCCUGAGCUUCAGCUUGUAGCAU